AUACGGAAGGUCCGGGCGUUAUCCGGAUUUAUUGGGUUUAAAGGGAGCGCAGGCGGAGAUGCAAGCGUGACGUCAAAUUUCGGGGCUCAACCCCGUCUCGCGUCGCGAACUGCGUCCCUUGGUUGCGGGAAGGGGAGGCGGAACUCGUGGUGUAGCGGUGAAAUGCAUAGAUAUCACGAAGAACUCCGAUCGCGAAGGCAGCCUUCCGGUCCGUCAACGACGCUCAUACUCGAAGGUGCGGGUAUCAAACAGGAUUAGAUACCCUGGUAGUCCGCACAGUAAACGAUGGACACCCGCGGUUUGGCCUAUAUGGCUGAGCCGCCAAGCGAAAGCGUUAAGUGUCCCACCUGGGGAGUACGCCGGCAACGGUGAAACUCAAAUGAAUUGGCGGGG
rnacentral:rRNA from 1 species